GGGACAAAGGGAAAAGGUCGUCAGGAA
rnacentral:sRNA from 1 species